UUAAGUUAUUAAGGGCGCACGGUGGAUGCCUUGGCACUAGAAGCCUACGAAGGACGUUACUAACGACGAUAUGCUUUGGGGAGCUGUAAGUAAGCUUUGAUCCAGAGAUUUCCGAAUGGGGAAACCCAGCACGAGUUAUGUCGUGUUAUCGAUAUGUGAAUACAUAGCAUAUCUGAAGGCAGACGCAGGGAACUGAAACAUCUUAGUACCCGCAGGAAGAGAAAGAAAAAUCGAUUCCCUGAGUAGCGGCGAGCGAAACGGGAAGAGCCCAAACCAACGAGCUUGCUUGUUGGGGUUGUAGGACACUCUAUACGGAGUUACAAAAGAACAAAUUAGACGAAUCAUCUGGAAAGAUGAAUCAAAGAAGGUAAUAAUCCUGUAGUCGAAAGUUUGUUCACUCUUGAGUGGAUCCUGAGUACGACGGAACACGAGAAAUUCCGUCGGAAUCCGGGAGGACCAUCUCCCAAGGCUAAAUACUCUCUAGUGACCGAUAGUGAACCAGUACCGUGAGGGAAAGGUGAAAAGUACCCCGGAAGGGGAGUGAAAUAGAACUUGAAACCGUGUGCUUACAAGUAGUCAGAGCCCGUUAAUGGGUGAUGGCGUGCCUUUUGUAGAAUGAACCGGCGAGUUACGAUUUGAUGCAAGGUUAAGCAGUUAAUGUGGAGCCGUAGCGAAAGCGAGUCUGAAUAGGGCGUUGAGUAUUUGGUCGUAGACCCGAAACCAGGUGAUCUACCCAUGACCAGGCUGAAGUUCAGGUAACACUGAAUGGAGGGCCGAACCGACUUACGUUGAAAAGUGAGCGGAUGAGUUGUGGGUAGCGGAGAAAUUCCAAUCGAACCUGGAGAUAGCUGGUUCUCUCCGAAAUAGCUUUAGGGCUAGCCUUAAGUAAUGAUUAUUGGAGGUAGAGCACUGUUUGGACGAGGGGCCCUUAUCGGGUUACCGAAUUCAGACAAACUCCGAAUGCCAAUCAAUUUUAUCUUAGGAGUUAGAACGCGGGUGAUAAGGUCCGUGUUCGAAAGGGAAACAGCCCAGACCACCAGCUAAGGUCCCAAAAUAUAUGUUAAGUGGAAAAGGAUGUGGCGUUGCCCAGACAACUAGUAUGUUGGCUUAGAAGCAGCCAUCAUUUAAAGAGUGCGUAAUAGCUCACUAGUCGAGUGACACUGCGCCGAAAAUGUACCGGGGCUAAACAUAUUACCGAAGCUGUGGAUUGUCCGUAAGGACAGUGGUAGGAGAGCGUUCUAAGGGCGUUGAAGCAUGAUCGCAAGGACAUGUGGAGCGCUUAGAAGUGAGAAUGCCGGUGUGAGUAGCGAAAGACGGGUGAGAAUCCCGUCCACCGAUUGACUAAGGUUUCCAGAGGAAGGCUCGUCCGCUCUGGGUUAGUCGGGUCCUAAGCUGAGGCCGAUAGGCGUAGGCGAUGGAUAACAGGUUGAUAUUCCUGUACCACCAAAUUUCGUUUUAAGCGAUGGGGGGACGCAGUAGGAUAGGCGAAGCGUACUAUUGGAUUGUACGUCCAAGCAAUGAGACUGAGUGUUAGGCAAAUCCGGCACUCUUAAGGUCAAGUUGUGAUGGGGAGAGGAAAUUGUUUCCUCGAGUCGUUGAUUUCACACUGCCAAGAAAAGCCUCUAGCUAGAAUUUUGGUGCCCGUACCGCAAACCGACACAGGUAGUCAAGAUGAGAAUUCUAAGGUGAGCGAGCGAACUCUCGUUAAGGAACUCGGCAAAAUGACCCCGUAACUUCGGGAGAAGGGGUGCUCUUUAGGGUUAACGCCCAGGAGAGCCGCAGUGAAUAGGCCCAAGCGACUGUUUAUCAAAAACACAGGUCUCUGCUAAACCGUAAGGUGAUGUAUAGGGGCUGACGCCUGCCCGGUGCUGGAAGGUUAAGAGGAGUGGUUAGCUUCGGCGAAGCUACGAAUCGAAGCCCCAGUAAACGGCGGCCGUAACUAUAACGGUCCUAAGGUAGCGAAAUUCCUUGUCGGGUAAGUUCCGACCCGCACGAAAGGCGUAACGAUUUGGGCACUGUCUCAACGAGAGACUCGGUGAAAUCAUAGUACCUGUGAAGAUGCAGGUUACCCGCGACAGGACGGAAAGACCCCGUGGAGCUUUACUGUAGUCUGAUAUUGAAAUUCGGUACAACUUGUACAGGAUAGGUAGGAGCCUUUGAAACGUGAGCGCCAGCUUACGUCGAGGCGUUGGUGGGAUACUACCCUUGCUGUGUUGGAUUUCUAACCCGCACCAUUUAUCAUGGU
rnacentral:rRNA from 1 species